CGUAACAAGGUUUCCGUAGGUGAACCUGCGGAAGGAUCAUUACAGUAGUCACCCGGGUUGCCGCAAGGCCUCUCGGGUAACCUACCACCCUUUGUUUAUUACACUUUGUUGCUUUGGCAGGCCUGCCUUCGGGCUGCUGGCUCCGGCCGGCGAGCGCUUGCCAGAGGAUCUAAACUCUGUUUGUCUAUACUGUCUGAGUACUAUAUAAUAGUUAAAACUUUCAACAACGGAUCUCUUGGUUCUGGCAUCGAUGAAGAACGCAGCGAAAUGCGAUAAGUAAUGUGAAUUGCAGAAUUCAGUGAAUCAUCGAAUCUUUGAACGCACAUUGCGCCCCCUGGUAUUCCGGGGGGCAUGCCUGUCCGAGCGUCAUUACAACCCUCAAGCUCUGCUUGGUGUUGGGCCCCGCCGCCCCGGCGGGCCCUAAAGUCAGUGGCGGUGCCAUCCGGCUCCGAGCGUAGUAAUUCUUCUCGCUCUGGAGGUCCGGUUGUGUGCUUGCCAUCAACCCCCAAUUUUUUUCAGGUUGACCUCGGAUCAGGUAGGGAUACCCGCUGAACUUAAGCAUAUCAA
rnacentral:rRNA from 1 species